rnacentral:rRNA from 1 species
AUGUUGCCCGGGUGCGGGCUGUUGGAUUGCCUCCGCCGCGGCGAGCGCGACACGCAUGACGCCGGCCAGACGGACCCCCGCGUCUCGGCCGAGCCCAGCGGCGGGUCGGCGUCCGGCAAGAGCGGGCGGGCGAGGCGGCUCGAGUGGGCCGAGGUCGAGUCGGUCACCGGCGGCUUCUCGUCCCGCGUGAUCGGCCAGGGCGGGUUCAGCACCGUGUACCUGGCGUCGCUCACCUCCUCCCGCCUCGGCGCCGUCAAGGUGCAGCGGAGCAGCGAGCGCCUCCACCGCGUCUUCCGCCAGGAGCUCGACGUGCUCAUGUCCGUGCGCCAUCCCCACAUCGUCCGCCUCCUCGGCUACUGCGACGAACGAGAGGAAGGCGUCUUGGUGUUCGAGUACGCUCCCAACGGCGACCUGCACGAGAGGCUCCACCGGAGCGGCCAGAGGCGGGCGGCGCUGCCGUGGGCGCGGCGGAUGGCCGUCGCGUUCCAGGUGGCGAUGGCGCUGGAGUACCUCCACGAGAGCCAGGACCCUGCGGUCAUCCACGGCGACGUCAAGGCGUCCAACGUCCUGCUCGACGCCAACAUGGACGUCAAGCUCUGCGACUUCGGCUUCGCCCACGUCGGCUUCUCCGCCGCGGUGCUCCCCGCCGCGGCCAGGGCGUCGGCGCGCCACGUCAUGGGCUCCCCGGGGUACGUGGACCCGCACUUCCUCCGCUCCGGCGUGGCCACCAAGAAGAGCGACGUGUACAGCUUCGGGGUGCUGCUGCUGGAGCUCGUGACCGGGCGGGAGGCCAUCUGCGCAGACACGGGUUGCCGGCUCACGGUCACCGUGGCGCCCGUGGUCAGCGAGGGCAAAGUGGCCGACGUGGUGGACCGGAGGUUGGGGGACGCGUACGAUCGCGAGGAGGCCGUGACCGUGGCGGCGCUCGCGCUGCAGUGCAUCAACGCCAGCUCCGGGCUCCGGCCGUCCAUGACAGACGUGGUGCGCGUUCUCCAGGAGAAGACGUCGGCGUUGAUCUCCGCCGUUGGACCUAAGCCGGCCAGCAUGAUGGUGGUUUCGUAA